rnacentral:lncRNA from 1 species
GAGGGACAGAGACGGCCUCGGCGAGGAUGGCUGCUUUCGGUUCCUUUAUUUCCAGGCUCGGGGAGCGAAAUAAACCAGAUAACGUGUAAAAGAAAGCAAACAAACAAAUGAAAGAACGGCUGGGAAGAGAAAGUAUUUAUGACAGUCUCCAGUGACCCAGAUGCUGGGAGCCCAGAGUCCACUCUGUUCAUCGCAGCACCCGAAGAGCAGGCUCAGAAAAGGCAGGGCUGGAGCCAAGGCUGAAGCGAGCUGUGGUACGGGUAGAGACGCCCUGUCCUGACCCCCACUGUUCUGGACCCUAGGGAGGCCUGCAGCCCUGGCACAGCCCUCUUCUGACCCUUCCCUCGUGCUGCUCCAAUGCCAGAGUUCUGGGUGUCUAAGAGUUUGGGCAGCUCCUGAGAUGGGGGUGGGAUUCCCCAAAUGCAGGGGAUCCUGGAGGGAGCUCUUGCU